rnacentral:rRNA from 1 species
UACGGAGGGUGCAAGCGUUAUCCGGAUUCACUGGGUUUAAAGGGUGCGUAGGUGGGCAGGUAAGUCAGUGGUGAAAUCUCCGGGCUUAACCCGGAAACUGCCGUUGAUACUAUUUGUCUUGAAUAUUGUGGAGGUAAGCGGAAUAUGUCAUGUAGCGGUGAAAUGCUUAGAUAUGACAUAGAACACCAAUUGCGAAGGCAGCUUACCACACAACGAUUGACACUGAGGCACGAAAGCGUGGGGAUCAAACAGG